AUUGAACGCUGGCGGAAUGCUUUACACAUGCAAGUCGAACGGCAGCACGGGGCAACCUGGUGGCGAGUGGCGAACGGGUGAGUAAUACAUCGGAACGUGCCCAGUCGUGGGGGAUAACGUAGCGAAAGCUACGCUAAUACCGCAUACGAUCUACGGAUGAAAGCGGGGGACUCGCAAGAGCCUCGCGCGAUUGGAGCGGCCGAUGGCAGAUUAGGUAGUUGGUGGGGUAAAGGCUCACCAAGCCUGCGAUCUGUAGCUGGUCUGAGAGGAUGAUCAGCCACACUGGGACUGAGACACGGCCCAGACUCCUACGGGAGGCAGCAGUGGGGAAUAUUGGACAAUGGGCGCAAGCCUGAUCCAGCCAUGCCGCGUGUGUGAUGAAGGCCUUAGGGUUGUAAAGCACUUUCACCGAUGAAGAUAAUGACGGUAGUCGGAGAAGAAGCCCCGGCUAACUUCGUGCCAGCAGCCGCGGU
rnacentral:rRNA from 1 species